rnacentral:rRNA from 1 species
GACGAACCGUGCGAACGUUGUUCGGAAUCACUGGGCUUAAAGGGCGCGUAGGCGGCUACCUAAGUCUCGGGUGAAAUCUUUCGGCUUAACCGGAAACGUGCCUGGGAUACUGGGUAGCUGGAGGGAGAUAGGGGCGGACGGAACUUCCGGUGGAGCGGUGAAAUGCGUUGAUAUCGGAAGGAACGCCGGUGGCGAAAGCGGUCCGCUGGAUCUCUACUGACGCUGAGGCGCGAAAGCCAGGGGAGCAAACGGG